UCGGGGUUGGUAAAGCUCUUUUGGUCAGGAAAGAAACCGGUAAUCUNUAAUAUAGGUUGCUAAUGACCGGUACCUGAAGAAUAAGCCCCGGCUAACUACGUGCCAGCAGCCCGCGGUNNUACGUANGGUGCNAGCGUUAAUCGNAAUNACUGGNCGUAAAGCGUGCGCAGGCGGUUAUGUAAGUCAGAUGUGAAAUCCCCGGGCUUAACCUGGGAAUGGCAUUUGAGACUGCAUAGCUAGAGUGUGUCAGAGGGGGGUAGAAUUCCACGUGUAGCAGUGAAAUGCGUAGAGAUGUGGAGGAAUACCGAUGGCGAAGGCAGCCCCCUGGGAUAACACUGACGCUCAUGCACGAAAGCGUGGGGAGCAAACAGGAUUAGAUACCCUGGUAGUCCACGCCCUAAACGAUGUCUACUAGUUGUCGGGUCUUAAUUGACUUGGUAACGCAGCUAACGCGUGAAGUAGACCGCCUGGGGAGUACGGUCGCAAGAUUAAAACUCAAAGGAAUUGACGGGGACCCGCACAAGCGGUGGAUGAUGUGGAUUAAUUCGAUGCAACGCGAAAAACCUUACCUACCCNUGACAUGGUUGGAAUCCUGGAGAGAUUCGGNAGUGCUCGCAANAGANCCAAUACACAGGUGCNGCAUGGCUGUCGUCAGCUCGNGUCGUGAGAUGUUGGGUUAAGUCCCGCAACGAGCGCANCCCUUGUCAUUAAUNGCCAUCAUUUAGUUGGGCACUNUAAUNAGRCUGCCGGUGACAAACCGGAGGAAGGUGGGNAUGACGNCAAGUCNUCNUGGCCCUUAUGGGUAGGGCUUCNCNCGUAA
rnacentral:rRNA from 1 species